rnacentral:lncRNA from 1 species
GAGAAAGUUUGACGAGUCAUAUUAGGCACGGCCCAUGUAGUAAACAGGCCGUGCCUAGCACGGCCUGUUUUAACAAACCCCUUGGCCUGGCACAGUCCUAGGCCCAAGAGUGGCCUAGGCACGGCCUGUUUUAACAAACCCCUUGGCCUGGCACAGUCCUAGGCCCAAGAGUGGCCUAGGCACGGCCUGUUUUAACAAACCCCUUGGC